rnacentral:rRNA from 1 species
GACGAACGCUGGCGGCGUGCUUAACACAUGCAAGUCGAACGGGUCUGCCCUGUUUUUUGCGGGGUGGGUCAGUGGCGAACGGGUGAGUAACACGUGAGUAACCUGCCCCUCACUUCUGGAUAACCGCUUGAAAGGGUGGCUAAUACGGGGUGUUCUGGCUGUGCCGCAUGGUGUGGCUGGGAAAGAUUCACUUUUGUGGUGUUUUGGUGGGGGAUGGGCUCGCGGCCUAUCAGCUUGUUGGUGGGGUGAUGGCCUGCCAAGGCUUUGACGGGUAGCCGGCCUGAGAGGGUGGGCGGUCACACUGGGACUGAGAUACGGCCCAGACUCCGGCGGGAGGCAGCAGUGGGGGGUAUUGCACAAUGGGCGGAAGCCUGAUGCAGCGACGUCGCGUGAGGGAUGGAGGCCUGCGGGUUGUGAACCUCUUUCGCCGGUGAAGAAGGUCCUGCUCUUUGUGGUGGGGUUGACGGUAGCCGGGUUAUGAAGCGCCGGCUAACUACGUG